GCCUGGGUGACUCAGUCGGUUAAGUGUCUGACUUCAGCUCAGGUCAUGAUAUCACGGUUCAUGGGUUCGAGCCCCACAUCGGGCU
rnacentral:tRNA from 1 species